rnacentral:tRNA from 1 species
GCCUAGUUAGCUUAGUUGAUAGUGCGUCUGCCUUGUAAGCGCUAGCCCGCGGGUUCAAUUCCCGCCCGGGGCG